CACGCCUAAAACAUGCAAGUCGAACGGUGGCAGCAAUGUCAUAAUGGCGCACGGGUGCGUAACACGUAGCGAACCUACCCAUAACUGGGGGAUAGCCCGCCGAAAGGCGGAUUAACACCGCAUAACAUCUACUGGUGGCAUCACUAGUUGAUUAAAUCUACGGAAGUCCUGGAUGGGGCUGCGGGUCAUUAUCUAUUAGGUAAGGUAACGGCUUACCAAGGCGACGAUGACUAGGGGACCUGAAAGGCUGGUCCCCCACACGGGCACUGAGAUACGGGCCCGAGUCAUACGGGAGGCAACAGUAGGGAAUAUUGGGCAAUGGGCGACAGCCUGACCCAGCCAUGCCGAGUGCAGGAAGAAUGCUUUCUGAUUCGUAAACUGCUUUCGAUAGGGAAGAAUAGUUACUACGUGUAGUGUGAUGACAGUACCUACAGAAUAACCACCUGCUAACUCCGUGCCAGCAGCCGGGGUAAU
rnacentral:rRNA from 1 species